rnacentral:rRNA from 1 species
GACGAACGCUGGCGGCGUGCUUAACACAUGCAAGUCGAACGGAAAGGCCUGCUUUCCCUUGUGGAUUGCGGGUACUCGAGUGGCGAACGGGUGAGUAACACGUGAGUGAUCUGCCCCCAACUUGGGUAUAAGCCUGGGAAACUGGGUCUAAUUCCCGAUAGGACUGCAGGGUGGUGCCUGUGGUGGAAAACGAUUUUCUAGUGGUUGGGGAUGAGCUCGCGGCCUAUCAGCUUGUUGGUGGGGUAAUGGCCUACCAAGGCGGCGACGGGUAGCCGGCCUGAGGGGGUGGACGGCCACAGUGGGACUGAGAUACGGCCCAGACACCUACGGGAGGCAGCAGUGGGGAAUAGUGCACGAUGGGCGGAAGCCUGAUGCAGCGACGCCGCGUGGGGGAUGACGGCCUUCGGGUUGUAAACUCCUUUCGACCGCGAGGAAGCCACCUGGUUGGAAGGGUGGUGACGGUAGUGGUAGAAGAAGCACCGGCUAACUACGUG